CAAAAUAUCUGGCAGGAAUUCUAGUAGUUGAGAAUACAGAAUUUUGUCAACUUUGAAAAGUGUAGUACAACAAUAUGUUACAGAACCAACAAUACUUGAUACUUUUGUGGACUUUUCUCUAUUCUAUACAUAUGUAUUCUAUACAUAUCUAUAUAUAUGUGUGUUUGUAUCGAUCUUUUUAAUAUAUGUUUCUGUUGGCCCAAGAGAGGGGAUGUAAGAGAUGUAAACAUAAACUGUAAAAUAAGUACAGUAUCUGUUUUUAUUCUGAUUGUGAAAUGCAGAUGCAGAGCCUUGCCACUAGGGGGAGUUUGUGAUCGAGAACCCUCAAUGGAGACCGCCGGUUAGUGUAAGGCCCUGCUGUAGAGCGGAAGGAGCGGUACAGUCGAGAUCGAUAUCUCCAAACUCAUCAUGUACUUCGUACUGUGUGUCUGUAAACAGAGAGACUUGGACGUCUGCUCCUCAGGGAUGAAGAUGGCUCCUGGUGCGUCUGGUAGCCAAACCAAACUGCAGCCCGGCUCGGCAUCAGCCCCGCAGCGACCCAUUAAUCUGACACCGCUGUGUUUGCUUUACAUCAUCAGCUCCAACUCCAGCCUUAUCCAGGAAGUCUCAUUAAGAUGAGGAGCUCAGACCAAACGUCAAGACAGUGACAGAAGAGAGAACCGGUUGUUCGUCACACUCACAGACGCAGUGGCUGUGGGAACAGGUUGAUACCAGUUCACCAGGGUCCGUGCCAGACCUGCCGGGCCUCAGCUGGAGAGCCGGUCUCCAGAGGACCGUCCUCUGAAUGGACCUGCAACAGGAGAAAGCAGCCCAUUAAGAUUCUACAGGAGCCUCACGGACCACCGUCACCACUGGAGGUUGUUUCAGCUGCUGCUGCAGCCGCUGGGACAGGAAACGUCACAGGAAACCACUGCCCACGAUUAAACGCACGGGAACAGUUGGAAAAUGAAGAGCCCUGUGACCCCUGUGACCCCCGUGACCCCCCCAGGCCGGACCAGACCCUGAGGGCAGUCCUGUCUUUGGCAGACGCUGUACAUCACGUACUGUAUUAUAUUGUCGUGAUUUUCAAACUGAACGUGAUUCCUGAAUGAUCAGAAACACAAACUGUUUCCUGCAGUAAAAAUGGCUGGAAUUCAAACUCCUGACCUUUUCCUGUUUUUUUUUUUUUUUUUUGCUCUUUUGAAAAUGUGCAGCGACUCGGCUGAAGUUGGUGUGAGUUGUUACCAUGGCAAAGAGCAGUGAAAGAGAAGAGAAGAGGGGGUUUCAGGAGUGUGUGUGUGUGUGUGUGUGUGUGUGUGUGUGUGUUGGUGGGGUUUUAUGUUUGAUCCUGAACAUGAAGCCUGAGAGACAGGAGUUACAACUUACUUUUGUUCAGAGGUGUGUGUGUGUGUGUGUGUGUGUGUGAGUGUGAGAGCUGAGGUUGUGUUUCAUGUCAAGUGAUACUUCACAGGGUUCAGAAUGCACUGCAACACCGUAUAAAAAGUGUGGGCCAAGGAAUUAAACUUGUUUUUUAUUUAUAAUUUACUUUUCACUCUGCUCAAACAAACUCAAAAAUACAACUAAAAUCCAGUUACAAAAAGAUGGUGGAAUUGUAGCUAAAGUCUGCUAUAAACGACACAUUCAGAAAAAUAAUAUACAUUUAUUAAUGUAAUUUAUUAAUUCCGAUUCCUAUAUCGACCGAUACGACAGGGGGCGGUGGUGGAAGUUAAAACAGUAUGUUUCUCAAUUCUUUUCUGCCCCCUAGGGGACAGAAUUAGAAUACUAUUGAGCACCUGGUAAUAUGUUUAUAUUUAUCUGUACGAACGGCAUAGAAUUCCCUGAUUAUCAAUAUAUUGAUUAAUAAAAUAAACGACAAUGCUGCCACCUAGUGACUACAGGCUUGUUAAGCGUUGAUAGAGUUCUGUGUUCAUUUGUUUUAGUGGGGAAUAAAUGUUAAGUUCUGGUUCUACUUUUUAUGACGAUUGUGUGCCUUGAACGCACCAUGUUGUAGCGCACAUGCUCAGUGUGUUCUGUACCUUGCGUUGGAGCCCCGGCUGGCCUGAUUAGUGCUGUUCUACUCCACGCGGUUUGGCGUGAGCUGUGGCCGACAACAGUGCUGAUCAUCGGUCAGGUGAUAAACCGCGUUCUGGUCAAAUAAACGCCUCUGUCUCAUUCUACCGCUGCGCCACAUCACGAAGGAGUUAACAGUUACGGGUAUGGGGGGGGGUUGUAGUCGUUGGGGAAGUUAGCAGGGGGGGUGGGGGGUGCAGGCGAUCUUGGAGAAGCUCGGUUGAGAGCAAUUAAGGAGUUAAGAACGAGUACUAUGUACUAUUACUUAAACUAUGUUUCAAUAAAUCUCUUCAGACGAACCUGACUGGUCUGUAGCUGCGGCGUGGACUUUUUUUUUUUUUUAGAACGUACGUCAUUUGGCGAAACCCAGGCAUUGAGUUAUCGGUUUUGAUUAUCGGAGGAAAAACAGCGUGAAAAACAGUGUUUCUUGUAAGUGGAACAGACACUUCAGACAUUUCAAAUACAAGGCUAUAACGUUACAUGUGAAUUCUUUAUGUAUGUGAUCUGUUUCAUUACCCGUCAGGCCACCCGGCAUUACCUCUCUCCAAGUGUGCCGUCAUCUCGACUCGACGUUGGUGAAUGGCAGAAAACAGGUCCUCAUCAGUGAUAGUACAGCGGAGGAUGGGAGUGAGAAGAGGGUCUUCAGCCUGUAGAGAUCUCCUGAAAAGGUGAGUCGACAGAAAUGAAUUCCAUGUUUACAUAAGUAGCUAAUCAGAGAGAAACAACAGGCGGAGCCGCUCCUCCUCCUGUCCCUGAGGAGCUGGAACCUCGGAAAAGUGAAAGUGAACUCCUUGUCAUUGUGACACACCACUGUACCAGAAAAAGGAAACUAUAAAAAUUUAAAUAAUAUAUAUAAUUGUUUGGGUUAUUAAAAUACUAGAGGAAGACAAGAAGUCUGGCUUUUUUUAUUGAGCUCCUCAACAUAUUUUGUAACUACUUGCAAAUUCAGGGCUUUUUUUUUAGGUUUUUUUCUUUUCUCAUAACAGUGGCAAUAGUUUACAGGUUCCAGAAGUCAACAUGAACUGUUUCUCUCUUAUUAGCUACUUAUGUAAACAUGGAACAAGAGCUUCUGCAUCCGAUUGAAAUACGGAUACAGUAGCUCUUGUUCUAGACAAAUCUACGUUUUUGCUAAAACUCUGAUCCCAGUGCAGCAGCCACAGUGGCACCACUCAUCAAGUAAAUGAAUGAAAAAAAUCUAUGCCAAAAUAUAAUGUGCUCACCUGAACUGGCACUGUGUGUGUUUGUGUGUGUGGUCUAGUGAUUGCUUAUGUUCUGUGCAUAUAAAUCUGUUUGCACAGACACAUAAUGAGGAAAAAAGCAAUUCCUCAUAUCAUAAAUCUUUCCAUUUAAGGACAAAGACGUGUUUGAAGUGCAACAUACAGAUGAAAUAUAUACAUUCUUUGGGCUCAAACUUGUCAUUAUGAUGAGAUAACAUUGAUAAUGCAGUGAUGAAUGUGAUUGGAAAUACAUCAAACCCUCAGAAUUUCUAGUUUGUUCUCCGUGUAGACUUGCACUAUCUGUGCUUUCUCCAGGAGGUGGUUUUCCAUGGUACAACAACAAAUCAUUUAAAGCCCAGAGGAACUUGUUUUAAUUGCAAACCUUAACUGGUUUGCAGGUUCCAUGUUUCUCAUCAAAAUGCAGUAUUUUUUAAAAAAAAAUUACAAA